CAGAGUAACAUCAGCGGGAAGUUGGGAGGAGCUCCUGGGGCACAGGACCCAGGACAGCCAGCUCGGGAGGCCUGGACUCCUGCACAGGGUUUCAUGGACUGCAGACUUCACUGGGACUCUCUGUGUGAACUGCCCCUGCACGUGCAGGGCACUCCUGGCUUCUCCGUGCCACCUGCACCCUCUCCUGGCCGGGACCAGACCACAGAGUGGCCGUUUGGCCAGGACUCAGGUCAUUUUCAGAAUUCUAAGGCCCGCUGUGGUCUGGGGACCCAGGUGAAGGGAGAGGCAGGCUCCAUGGCCACGACCACCAGUCGGCACACCUCAGACUGACCUUGUUCCACCUUCUGUGGACGCCACCGCCAUGGCGGGAGAACGGUCAAGAUGAGCCAUCGUUCUGACCAGUACGUCCCUGGAUAACGAACAGAGAGGCUGGAACGAUCGCUUCAUGGAAAAUUCCUUUCUGGCCUCAGGGUGCUCUCAGAUGUGGGUUCCAGGUGGGGCUGUGAAGAAUCUGAUAACCUUGCUGAUGCUCUGGAACAGCUCAUUAAGGAAGGAACCUGAGCCUCUCCAGCGUCUUGCAUAAGGUCACAGGGGUGGAGCCCUCAUGAGUGGGAUUAAUGCCCUUAGAAAAGGGGCCCUCAAGAGCCCCCUCGGCCCUCUGCCCAGUGAGGACACAGAGAGAAGGCGACUGUCUGCAAAGAGCAAGUGGGUCUUCUCUGCAGACCGCGAAUCUGCCAGCACUUUGACCCUGGACUUCCAGCCCCCAGAACGGCAACAGAUGAAGGAAGGGAGGCUCGGGGACAGGAGUGGACACUGGCUCUGGCUCCAUGGACUCUCUCUCCAGUGCUCUUUGAACCCACCACAGAGAUGCUGAUGCACAGGAUUGAAGGUCAUGGGAUGACAGAGGCAGACACUGGAGUGACGCAUCUAUAAGCCAAAGAAGGCCAAGGUAUGCUGGCUGCCACCAGAAGCUGCAAGUGGCAAGGAAGGAUUCUUUCCUGGAAACUCCCAGGAAGCAAGACCCUGCCAACACCUUGAUUUUUGACUUCUGGCCUCCAGAACUGGGAGAGAAUAAAGUUCUGUUGUUCUA